GGGACCUACGGGACGCAGCAGUGGGGAAUAUUGCACAAUGGAGGGAACUCUGAUGCAGCGACGCCGCGUGAGUGAAGAAGUAAUUCGUUAUGUAAAGCUCUAUCAGCAGGGAAGAAAGUGACGGUACCUGAAAAAGAAGCUCCGGCUAAAUACGUGCCAGCAGCCGCGGUAAUACGUAUGGAGCAAGCGUUAUCCGGAUUUACUGGGUGUAAAGGGAUAGUAGGUGGCAAAGCAAGUCCGAAGUGAAAACCCAAAGCGCAACUAUGGGAAUGCUUUAGAAACUGCUCAGCUAGAUAGAAG
rnacentral:rRNA from 1 species